rnacentral:tRNA from 1 species
CGGGGCGUCGGUCUGUAAGGCAACGGUUUUUGGUACCGUCAUCCCUGGUUCGAAUCCAGGCGCCCCAGCCA